GACGUAGGGCGCGAGCGUUGUCCGGAUUUAUUGGGCGUAAAGAGCUCGUAGGCGGCUUGUCGCGUCGUCUGUGAAAUCCCGCGGCUCAACCGCGGGUCUGCAGUCGAUACGGGCAGGCUAGAGUUCGGUAGGGGAGACUGGAAUUCCUGGUGUAGCGGUGAAAUGCGCAGAUAUCAGGAGGAACACCGGUGGCGAAGGCGGGUCUCUGGGCCGAUACUGACGCUGAGGAGCGAAAGCGCGGGGAGCGAACAGG
rnacentral:rRNA from 1 species